AUUUCAGUUCGUGACUAAUUCUGAUAACGUUCAGCCGUCUCGUAACUGUAACGGUUAUUUUGAAGUUUAAUUUAAAAAUUAAAUCGAAAUAGCAGUUUUUGUGUUUGUGUAAUUUUUAAGUGAAGUGAUUCAAAAUUGCGAUUUUCAAGAUCUUUCACCGGCGAUCCGGAGAGAUCGAGGAGGUUAUGCAGCAGAAGGCACCAGUGGUGCCUUCCAAUAAUAAAUACCAGCAACUUUCUCUACCAACUACCCCAACAGUUCGAAGCAAAGGUUUCUCUGCGAAUUUUUUUAAAGCUACAUUUAGUUCCCGAAGCAAAGCGGUACCCACCGCCUCAUCUGUUGACUACGUCGAGGAAACUACCAAGAUAGGCAGCGCAGAGACUAAGCCUAUUACUAGAAAUAGACCACGGACAGCUCCACAAGAAUCGUCUACAAAAGUAAAGCUAAAACGGGCAGAUCUUGCGAAGCCACCUGUCAAGCGACCUACGAAACUUGCACUUGACCCUAAACGUCCUGAGAGGGUCAAGUCAUCAGCACCAGACCCAGGGGGAUCCAUAACUCCAGGAACUCCCAGACAUGAACUGAAAACACAGAGCUCAGUCAUACAAAUUGUGAAAAAGUCCCACAUUCUCAAUCCAUCGGAUAGCCUGCUGCCGCCAUCUUUAAAACCGAAAGUAGCCGAAAAAAACGUGAAAUUGACGAAGAAUAUCAACAAUAAUGACGUUUGGACAAAUGCAAAUGAUAUCAAAACCUUCAGGAGACCAGCACCACCGACGCCGUUGAGAGGCCCGAGCCAAGGGAAGCAGGAGUCUACCCUGAAAGGAGCCCCCUCAGUAUCCAGCCUAGAUUCCAAGCACCACAAAGUAGCGCCUGCCAGAGAUAAGUCUUUGAAGAUAUUUGGCUCAAAAGAGAAAUUACAUAAGCCGAAGAAGAAAGAUUUGGGAAAUAACAAUGCGGUGUUGGAAGAUCCUGAGUUGAGGGAAGGGCUGGAUACGUAUGAAGAUGCGCAGGCUAGGGUCAAUGAUUACGGGAGCGCUGAGGAGCUGGGGUCGAUAGGCGAGCGAGGGUCUCAGGAGUGCGUGAGUCUGCCGGUGACCCUGAACGCUGAACACAUGCCGGGUUUCCAGGAGGUGGAGCUGGACCUCCGGCCCAGAUUGCCAUCCGAGGGAUCUUUGGCAUCGGGUGCUCGCGAGAUCGAAACCCUUAGACGAGAGCUGGAAGCCACUGCUAUGGAGCGAUCACAGCUGCAGGCCAGGGUUGACGAGCUGCUGGACAGGGCUGCCGAGGCUGACCGGCUGAGGAGUGAGCUUGAUAGGUUGAAGAGCAUAGAAGCGGAACACGAAGCGGCAUUGGAGCGUCUAGCGGACGAGAACGGAGCGUUGCGCGCGCGCCUCCGCGGCGUCGCGCACUCGCCGCUCUCCGACAGCGAGAAGCGGCAACUGUUGCUUGCGCCGGCGCCGAGGCGGAUGCACUCGUCUGCGCCGGCGUCCAUCGCACUGGCUCAUAAUGGCGAAGGUGACAGCGGUGAAGCCAGUACACCGGAAUGGGACAAGCAUUCCUCGUCAUCUCUCAGCGAGGUGUCAGUUGCGUGCUUGCAGGACCGGAUACAGCAGAUGGAAGAACAUCAUUACAGCACAAGCGAAGAGCUGCAGGCCACGUUGGCGGAGCUGGCCGACCUUCAGACGCAGCUGGCGGACGCCCACGCCGACAACGAGCGCUUGGCUGAGGAGAAGCAGGUGCUGCUGGAGUCGCUGUGCCAGCAGACUGAGAAGCUGGAGGACAGCAGGACUAAGGUGGACACAUUACAGUUGUUGUUGAGGGAGGGCGCUGAGCCGGAAACCGUAGUAGUGCCCGACACCGACCAACAGCUGUUCGCCGUCUUGAAGGUGUCGCAAGAAGAACGUCGCCUUUUACAAAGCAAGCAGGAGCAGCUGGAAGCGGAGCUGAAGGAGACCAAAGCGGCUGUGGAGGAGAAAACCAAAGAGAAUAACGCGCUACAGGAGAGAGUCAGGGUACUGGAAGGUAGUUUAGAACGAACAGAGGCUGAGCGCUUACAAUGGGAACACGAGGCCGGCGCGGCAUUGGAAAGCGCUGCGGCGAAGCAGCAUCAGCUCGACUCCAUGUCUGAUCUGCUGGAGGCUGCUAAAGCCAAGCAGCUAGCGGAGCGCGCGGGCGCGGCGGAGGGCGCGGCGGAGGCGGAGGCGGCGGCGGCGGCGGCGCGGCGCGACGCGGACAGCGCGGCGGCGCGCGCGCACGCGCUGGCCGAGCGCCUGGCGCACGCGCAGCGACAGCUCGACCGCGCGCACUCCGACGCCAGGAAGCUGCACGACGACGCCAGGGUGUCCCGCAACAACGCCAAGUCCACGAUAUCGGAGCUGGAGUUCCAGCUGGAGCAGCUGCGGCAGGAGAAGGCGGCGCUGCAAGCGGAGAUCAAGACGCUGCAGGACUCUGUGUCCGAGCUGCAGAUACAGGUGCAAGUGACGUCGGAGGAGAAGCUGUCGCUGAUGUCGCGCGCGGGCGAAGCCCUAUCCCGCGCGGGCGAGGCGGAGCGCCAGCUGCAGGACGCGCGCGCGCGCCUGGCGCAGCUGGCGCGCGACCGCGACCGCGACGAAGCGGAAUGGAAGCAGUUCCAAAGCGACCUUCUCAUGACCGUGCGAGUAGCCAACGACUUCAAAACCGAAGCCCAGAGGGAACUCGAGAGGCUUGUGUCAGAAAACAAAAUAGCCAGAGACAGAAUCCGUCUGCUGGAAGACCAGAUCCACUCUAUGAAAGGUGCUAACAAGUCAGGAUCUGUGGAUAACAUACACAAUUAUUCAGAUGAUGAGAAACGAUGGUCAAGAGAUUCAGAUACGUUAGAUUAUCUUAGUGAUAAUGCGUCUAAGGAUAUCUUUAAGAAUAUCAGAACGAGGUAUCUCAGUAGAGUACAUAGCGUUUCUGAUCCAGCGCUUAAAGACAGUAUUGUGGAACAAGCAUUUUUUAAAUCUAAUAAUGUACCCGAACCUUAUAAUCAUCAUCCAACAGAAAAUCCAUUGGGAGAUGUCAAAAUUCAAAUUAAUAAUGUUACAAUAGACGAAACAGAUGAUAUAAGUGUUAAAGAUAAUUCUUCAGAGAGUGUUCGCUCGAAUAAACAAAGUGAUGUUUCUGCUGAGACAGUCCUCUCUUCCUUUGAUACCAAAGAGCUUAAGAGGCAGGACGCUCUAGAUGAAGCUAAUUCUAAAAUCAGCAGACAACAAGCUUUAGAUUUAUCAACUCUAUCUCGAGAAACAUCUGAGGAUACGUUGUUCCUCAAAAUAAACACUCACGAUAACAACUUAAUAACAAAAUCAGAAUCUUGUUUACCGCCUAAACCCAAACCCAGAACAAGAACUAUUUUCAGCAGAAAUUUGUCUGGAAUGUUCAACGGUAAACCUAAGUCAUAUAGUAUGGAUAAUUUGAAUAAACAUGAUGACUUCGACAAUGCCUUGAAAGAAGCUACUAGCGUAGACUUUUUAAGUAGUAAUAUUAAUUAUAGCGAUAUGUCAUUGUAUACAUUGGGUUCUGAUAGUGUAUUUUCUUCGCCUAUUGAUAGAAAUAUAAACAAAGUUAGAACUUCGUCAACUCAGUCUUUUAAAACUCCUUUGAUGAGCUUUAGUUCUACGAAUACUCUAACAGAUUCAGCCAAAAAAAUCAAUGGCCAAAAUAAUGUUGAAGCUCAAUCUGACUUUGGUAUAAACAAUAAAAGUAAGGAAAACAACGAGAUACCGAUAGUAAAAGCAGAAUCCAUAUUACCUUUUCCAUAUCCUGAUGACAUAAAUCGAGUGCCAAAAUUGGCACCAUUUAUACCGCCAGUUCAAGAAAAUCAAUUUCAUUUCGAAGAUACUUUUGAGAAAGAUAUUAAAAAGGCAAAUGAAGAUUUAAAAUACACUUUUAGGUCUGCAAUAGAAAGAAUUAUUGGUACGAAUAAAGAAAAGAAAUCUUCAACCCAAAAAUUGCAUAAAAGGGAUUCCAAUUCAAGUCAUAAAUCAAAGAGUGCAUCUCCAUCACCUGAAUUUGUCAAAAGAGAAUCUGAAAAAUCUGACGAAUGUGAUCCUAUUUCUAUUGAAAGUAAACAAAAUGAAUCAAUUUCUAACGAAGUGCCUGAAAUCGUUAAGAAAUCUGCAGCUUCAAAACCAGUUGAAGAUCAUUUCAGAGCAACAAGAGUAGACUCUCCACCUUUACAAAUAUUUGACUUGAAUGAAUCAAAUCAGGAUCAUCUGAAUACAAUUAAUAUCCCAGACGUCGAAAAAUCUUUUUACUCUGAAGAUUGCAUUAAUUCAGCUUCAGGGAGUGUUGACAAAGUGGAUAAAGAGAUUAAUAUUGAUUUUGCUCCAAAUAAGGAUGGAAUAUUAAGUAAAAUAGAAGCAGUGAACGAAGAAAAAACCUCACCGCAAAACCUGAACUGUAAUAAUCCUUUUAUUGAAACAAAAAAUAUUCCAAACGACCAGGUCAAUACUCCUGCUAAUUUGGUUGAUGAUGUUAGUUAUCAUCUAAAAAUUAAUACGGUAAAUGACAUACCCACUAGUAAUGAGUCAUGUCUCGACAAUCAAGCAGCAUUAAUUAAUUAUAAUUCAGCCAUUUUGCAAAAUGACGGUACUAACAAAGGAGGCAGAUUAAAAGCAUUUCUGACACCAAUCAAAAUUGUGAAUGGUGCUAUAGGAAGCACGUCUCCAAUUAUACUCAGCCCAGUUUUAAUUCAACCCGUAUUUUUUAAGCAACAACAGCAAGCUAUUGAGCAAAAACCAGAUGACAAAAGAGCUACCGUGUAUUAUGAUGAUAUCGAUCAAGUUAUAACAAAAGAAAACUCACAUACAAAAGUUAGUAAUGUAAGCAACAAAAAGGGCAUAUUUGAAAAAAGUACAAAAGCAAAGAACUUACCUUUCCUUUCAUGGAAAAAUUUGGGAAAUAAUGAAAAUUCAGACCAAACAAGUGCAAUAUCUCCUAAAAUUAAACCAUCACCUCCCAAAGUCGUAAAGUUGAGUAAAACGCCGGAGUGGUUAAUAGAUAAUCGGUACUAUCAACCUAUUGAUAAUGUUCCAUUCGUAAUUAACACUACACAGUCAUUCACUUCAAACUUACCAGUAGAAAAGAAACAAUUGUUAAAGGUUACAAAUCCUUUCUUACCCAUUGUCGAAUCUAGAAGACCAUCGGAACAAGAGAAUUAUUAUGAAGAAAUCGGCGAACCAGUGAUACCAGUAGAAAAUAAGAACGCCGCUGACGACGACAAAUUAUCAAAAAAGGCUCAAACAAAAUCAUUCGAAGACUUUGCUGCAGUAACACGCGAGGCAAUAUUGAAAGUGCCAAGAAGGGUAAAGAAACCUAAAAAAGAAUUCUCCAAAAGUGAAGAUCCCACUAGUAUAGUCAAAGAAAUGGCUUAUAUGACAAAAUCUGUGAUUUCACUGUCACGUACGCCCAGUGCUAAAGAAGUUCCAAAGAAGACCAACAAUGCGAUUGGAGAAAUUGUGCAAACUCUGGAACGAAAACCACCGUGCCCUGAGCCCAGGAAAGCGGAGGUAGCAACCAGAAAAUUGUCUCUCCAAGGGCAGAAAGCGCCCACAAUAGAUACUAACACGGGGUCUUGGCCCCGGGAACCUAAAACUCGGGAACCUAAACCUUAUUGGAAAACCCUAGAACAUAAGCGUCUAUCGCACCCAAUAAGAUCUCUGAACGACCCGCCGCCUCCGAGACCGUUACCCAUCCCCCCUCGAACAGAAGAGACCCCCCCUCCUCCGUUGCUGACCAGCGCCUCGCUACAGGACAUCAUGGCCACGGCGGCCUCGCACAGGCGGAAUAAAGGCGUAAGCCGUCAAGACUCUCGUCUGUCAGUCAAGUCCCUGAUCGAAAGCAUUGAGAACGCAGCCAAGGCGGCCAAGCAGCAGUCUCCAGCCACCACACCAGUCGGAGAAUGGCCUCAACAAACAACAGUGGUGUCGGCAACCAACAACACGCUGAAGAACGGCCUGACAGAGCCUCCCGCGGCCACCAACGGCAUCACCGCCACCUUCGCGACCAAACCCCCAGCGGCCAGGAACGCCAGAACAACCCCUAUUACUAAUGAGUCGCCGCCGCCGACCUCGGGCUCCAACAUUCCCGACGAGCAGCGGGCCUUGGCGACGCUGCAGCAGAAGGCCAUCGAGUCUUUCGUGCGAAGGAACAGCUAUGGGGAUAUAUGUGAAAGAAAGGAUCCCCUGAACGCGCUGCAGAAAAACGGCGGGUCCAAACGUAACGCGUUACUGAAGUGGUGCCAACAGAAGACCCUGGGGUACAACAACAUAGACAUUACCAAUUUUAGUUCAUCGUGGAACGACGGCAUGGCACUGUGCGCUCUCCUGCAUUCCUAUCUCGGCGAGGCGCGCAUCAGCUACGGCUCGCUGUCGCCACACGACAAGCGCACUAACUUCUCCGUAGCCUUCGCCGCGGCAGAGUCCGUGGGCAUCCCCACCACGCUGAACAUCCAAGACGCAGUCCAAUCAAAGAAAGUUCGUAUGUUCGUUUCUCAUCAUGCCCUUGGCCGGGAUUCGAACCCGGGACCUCUGGUGUAACAGACAAGCGCACUACCGCUGCGCCAGAGGCCGUCUUUUAGUUAGCCUUGCUCAUCACGAGAGUGCCUUCACAGACUGCACUGUUUUCUUGCCUCGCUACAAAAUAAGAUUUAUAAAUAAUGCAAGUUUUAACGCGCACGUGACGCACCUUUAUUUUAUCUCGGACGUUUUGUAUCAUUUUACAAUGAUCUGUGGUUAGUCGCUCGGUGAAAUAAAAGUACCUUACGUUCGCGUUUAAUACCUGUAUUAUUUAUAAAUAGUGUAAUGCAACGCGAAAGUUCAAAACCCCUAUGAAAUAACUUUAGUUUUGUAUUGCUCACAACCUAUUCAAGGGGGAGCUGACGAUACAAGUUCUGCGUUGCGCGUGGGCAUGCCAUCGCCGAAUGGUCGCCCGAAUCAUAUCUUGCAGAUGUCCGAUUAAUUCUACUAAACUGGUCAGUAGGUAUAAUUGUAUUACACCCAGCUCAUGAUAGGACGAUGGAAUGGCACUAUGCGCUCUCUUUCACUCGUACUUCCGCGACGCGUGAAUCAACUUCUCCGACAAACUGACUUCUCUGUAGCCUUCGUCGCGGCAGAGUCCGUGGGCAUCCCCACCACGCUGAACAUCCAAGACAUGAUCCAGCAGGAGCGGCCCGACUGGCAGCAAGUCAUGGCAUACGUCACCAGCAUCUACAAGCACUUCGAGACUUAACUCGAUUCUGAGACCGAUCUUGAUUGUAUCUUAGUCGAGGCUGUGAGACCUAAACUCGAUUUUAUGAGGCGAUUUUGAGAAUUAACUCGGAACAUAUUAUUCGAUUCCGAGUUCUAACUCGGUUAUACUCGAUUCUAAGUUCUAAAACACAAAAUAUAACAGAACGCAUCCAGUUAGGCAGGGCCGGAUUUGGAAAUAUGGAGGGAUCAAACAAUUAUCAUCUUAGACAAAAGAUCAAUUUUCCGUUAAGAUUUUGAAAAUGAAAUGGGGUCACGAUUUUAGGUCCAGGGAAACGAAGUGACGAUUCCAUCAUAUUGAUAUCUUAAUUUAUUUUCUAUUUUAUUCUUGAAAAUACUAAUAAUGCCUCCAAAAUCCGGCUCUGUACAUUUUUUAUGACUGGAGCAAUGAUUUGAAGGUAAUUUUUCUAUUAUGUGAUAUUAAAAAUGCGCCACUAAGAAAAAGCAAAUGGUGUUACAUAAAAAAAAAUGUACAACCUAUAUUUUAGGUAAUAUUUCUAACUUAAUAUCUCAUCGCAGAAAGGCCCGUCCACCUCCAUAUUAUUCGGGAAAUGGAGACGAAAAUAAACAGUUGUGAUUAAGUGAAUUGAAUCACGAUGAACUCUACCAUGUAAUAUACUCUAUAUUUUUGAAUAUUUUUCCCAUAGAUACUAAUGGGAACUAUUUUGGAAAAUGUGUAAACUUUGCAAUAUACAAUGCAUACCUACCUACUAAAAUGUAUAACAUUCCUAAAUGCUGUAGGCAAGUGAUAUUUGUAGACUUGGGAUGAAAUGAUUGCCUUUGUUCGGCCUUGUAGUGUCAGUUAGGGCGGUAAGGAAUUGAUGGGUUAUUCCCAAUAUUAUGGUAAACAUUUAUGAAUCAAUGCAAUUUCGGUGUUAACUUAAAAAAAAAAAUAUAAGAGAAAUAAACAACAUUGCAUAAUUUAUGAUUUUUUUCGAAAUCUGGUGUCGAAUUUUUUGUUUACAAAGCCUGCCCUUGUAGUUAGGUACAUGCGUUUAUCGCGCGAAAAACUAUCGCUGUUUCGCUUUUUAUUAUGAAAUACAACGGGACAGCAAUAGUUAUUCGCGCGAUAAAUACGGCGUCGCGCGGGCCAUGUUACGGGGGCAGGAUCUUGAAAACUGAUUUAUAAUAAAAAUUAUAUUAUUGCAAACAUAAAUAUAAUAUAAUAAUUAAAUCUUUACCAUAUAUUGUGAAAUCUCCUUAAAAUAUACUGUCUUUCCAUAUAAAAGACUGAUAUUGUAGAUAAGUAGCGGGAUGAGCGUCGUUUGGUGUUGCCUACCCGAAUAUUUAAAAAAAUUCUUUUGUUAAACUAUAUCUUCCUGAAACUUCUAAAAAAAUUUCAAAAUAUUGAUUUUUCGGGAAGUAAAACAUAAAAAGACAAUUAAAUAAGUCCAAAAAAUUUUUUUUUUUUUAUAUAAUUAAAAUAUUUAAGGUAGGUAAUGCUGAUCGACGUUUGGUUAGAUAAAAAAUGAAUAUGCCUUAAAUGUCCAGGCCUUGCGACAUAUAGCUUAUGUUACUCGUAUUACUUAUAUAUGUAUUGUACUUGUACUUUGUGUAUCUACUGCUAAGCAAUGUAAACCUUAUUGACAGUACUGUAAAGUCGAAUUUUGUCUGCGAGUGUAGCUGCUCAUAUAAUCUCCAGAAAACUUGACGCAUUAAUAAGUAUCUAUCUAUUUUUAUAUACCUAAUGGAAGUUUAAAAAAAAGUACUUUUAAAGUUGAUUAGUCUAGUCGCUACUUUAAACUUUUGAACUAAUGGUGUGUUCUAAUUUGUUCAAAGUUUAAAAGUGUUCAUCGCUAAGCUAUCUGAAAAAUGUUUACUUUAAUAGUCAUCACCAUUCUUGAAGAAAAAUUCUAUUUCUAUUACUAUGGUUAAACAAUUUUCAAAAUACCUUCAGACUUCAUUACCAGCAAAAUAAUCUUUCCUAUAUAGCGUCAAAUUAUACAGCAUUUACCGAAAAAAACAUGAAAGAGAUAGAGAAAGUGGCUCGAAAUUCAUCAAAAUCAUUCCAGUAAGGUGUUUAGUUAACAGAGUUUAUGGAACUGUACAAUGGUACUAGUGUCAAAACGAACUGGUUUUUAUGAUGUGACUUACGCUAAAGACGUCCAAUAUGUGUUGUGUUGCUCCUACUAUAAGUUUGUUGGUGUGGUGAACGUUUAGAAUAUGUGGAAAUUGAACUCGUUCAUUUCAAAUUAAAGUUUACACCCAAAUUGAGGAUUAGGUGGCAGUAGAGUGGAUAUAGACAAUCGGACCUGUUUAAAUUUAAAACUAAAUAUAAAUAUUAUGAUAUGCUAGUCUGUUUGAUCUUCCAUUGAUACGAGGUUAUUAAGGUUAUUGACCUUCUCAUUAAAUUCAGAACUUGGGUAAGUAUAUUUUAAAGACCCACUAUUAAUAAAUAUUUCAACAUCCAUCUUGUAACAAUUUAUUCCUUAGAUGUAAGACGUCACCUUAACAAGAAUAUUUAUUCCAUUAUAACACUACUGAAUGACUGAAAUGAAUGAAUGACUGAACGACAAUGUGAUUGAAUGAUUUCAAUUUACGGCAAUAUUUUGUUACGCAAAAUAUUUUGCUAAAACAUUGCGUUUAGAAAAAUUUGAUUGGUUUUCAAAUGAGUUAUUCUUGUAAGCCCAAAAUAAGCCAUGUCACAUAAAAAAUUGCAGUCUACAUGUUUUAGAUCAACUUGCAGAGACAGUGUUUUUUUUUUUCAGUACAUAAGUAUUUUGGUAUAACUUAUAUAAGUCGCUUGAAGUAUUAGUUUUAGGAGUUUUACUCCUAAUAUAUGAAUGAAUAUUGCGGAAUUAAUUUUAUAACACUAGAGGGUAGGUAGCUAUUUCCCUCCGUAUUCAUUUUAUUCUUUGUUGAUUCUGAUUUUCAAACAUUCUUUAAAAUUAGUUUUUAUUUUUUUACUCGAAAGGUUGUAUGUGGCAUGGCGUUGAUGUGUUUGUAACGGUGAUAUAUGAUAUUUGUACAUGGGACUUGAUACCUAAUAGAUGUUUUGGGCCAUUCGUUAUAUUUUUGACUCAGUUGUUAUGCUGUCUUUGUAGAUUAAUUAUUGUCUAUUUUGAGAGAUUGUAUUUUUUGUAAAUAUAGCUUAAAUAAAGUUCCUGAAUUAUUAUAAUA